rnacentral:rRNA from 1 species
UACGGAGGGAGCUAGCGUUGUUCGGAAUUACUGGGCGUAAAGCGCGCGUAGGCGGCUUUGUAAGUUAGAGGUGAAAGCCCGGGGCUCAACCCCGGAACUGCCUUUAAGACUGCAUCGCUUGAAUCCAGGAGAGGUGAGUGGAAUUCCGAGUGUAGAGGUGAAAUUCGUAGAUAUUGGGAAGAACACCGGUGGCGAAGGCGGCUCUCUGGACCGUAACUGACGCUGAGGCGCGAAAGCGUGGGGAGCAAACAGG